CCUACGGGAGACAGCAGUGAGGAAUAUUGGUCAAUGGACGAGAGCCUGAACCAGCCAAGUCGCGUGAAGGAUGACUGCCCUAAGGGUUGUAAACUUCUUUUAUAUGGGAAUAAAAUGCUCCACGUGUGGCGUUUUGUGUGUACCAUAUGAAUAAGGAUCGGCUAACUCCGUGCCAGCAGCCGCGGUAAUACGGAGGAUCCGAGCGUUAUCCGGAUUUAUUGGGUUUAAAGGGUGCGUAGGUGGGUUGUUAAGUCAGUUGUGAAAGUUUGCGGCUCAACCGUAAAAUGGCAGUUGAAACUGGCAGUCUUGAGUACAGUAGAGGUAGGCGGAAUGCGUGGUGUAGCGGUGAAAUGCUUAGAUAUCACGAAGAACUCCGAUUGCGAAGGCAGCUUACUGGACUGCCACUGACACUGAGGCUCGAAAGUGUGGGUAUCAAACAGGAUUAGAUACCCGAGUAGUC
rnacentral:rRNA from 1 species